GUGGAUUAGAUACCCUGGUAGUCCACGCCGUAAACUAUGGAUGCUAGCUGUUAGGAGUAUCGACCCUUCUAGUAGCGAAGCUAACGCGUUAAGCAUCCCGCCUGUGGAGUACGGUCGCAAGACUAAAACAUAAAGGAAUUGACGGGGACCCGCACAAGCGGUGGAGCGUGUUGUUUAAUUCGAUGGUAAGCGAAGAACCUUACCCAGGCUUGACAUCCUUGGAAGUUCUGCGAAAGCAGAGUGUGCCUUCGGGAACCAAGUGACAGGUGAUGCACGGCCGUCGUCAACU
rnacentral:rRNA from 1 species